UACGGGGGGGGCAAGCGUUGUUCGGAAUUACUGGGCGUAAAGGGUUUGUAGGUGGCUUGUUAAGUCAGACGUGAAAUCCCUCAGCUUAACUGGGGAACUGCGUCUGAUACUGGUGAGCUUGAGUAUAGGAGAGGUUACUGGAAUUCCCGGUGUAGCGGUGAAAUGCGCAGAGAUCGGGAGGAACACCAAUGGCGAAAGCAGGUAACUGGACUAUUACUGACACUCAGCUGCGAAAGCUAGGGGAGCAAACAGG
rnacentral:rRNA from 1 species